rnacentral:rRNA from 1 species
GACGAACGCUGGCGGCGUGCUUAACACAUGCAAGUCGAACGCUGACGACCUGGCUUUUGUUGGGUUGGAUGAGUGGCGAACGGGUGAGUAACACGUGAGUAACCUGCCCUCUUCUUUGGGAUAACGCCCGGAAACGGGUGCUAAUACUGGAUAUUCACUGGCCUUCGCAUGGGGGUUGGUGGAAAGGUUUGUUCUGGUGGGGGAUGGGCUCGCGGCCUAUCAGCUUGUUGGUGGGGUGAUGGCCUACCAAGGCUUUGACGGGUAGCCGGCCUGAGAGGGUGACCGGUCACAUGGGGACUGGGACACGGUCCAGAGUGCUACGGGAGGCAGCAGUGGGGAAUAGUGGGCGAUGGGCGAAAGCCUGAUGCAGCGACGCCGCGUGAGGGACGGAGGCCUGCGGGUUGUAAACCUCGUUCGCUCAUGGUCAAGCCGCAACUGUGGGUUGUGGUGAGGGUAGUGGGUAAAGAAGCGCCGGCUAACUACGUG